CUGGGAUGAUGCAAAUUAGCCAAAUCAUAUGUGGAUGUGCUCCAUGGGGCAGAUUUUCCUAAGCUUGUACUGGUUCCUAUUUGAGAGGCAUUUUGCCAGU